CUAAUCUCUCUUUUUAUAUAAAGGUGUAUGAACCCUUUGAAACUCUAUAGACUCUCCCCCUUCACUUUCAUCGUCAUCUCUCUAAACCAAAUCCUAGCCGCCCUAAUAUCCCAUGCCGGCUCCGCCUCGCUCCGCCGCCCGAAAAUCUUCAAACUCUACCAAAUUAACCCCAUGUGGUCAAUUAUCCCUCCCCUUUCCAAAUCCCCAAACCAUUUCCCUUGAAUCUUCAUUCAACUGCUUGAAUCUUAGAUAUGAAAAUCCAAACCUAAAAACCCCAAGUUGUCCAAACAAUCCUAAACUCACACCAUAGGACUCUCAACCUUCACUCACCACUAUCCUACCCUUGAUUCCCCAAAAAUCCCCGCCAAAGUCCUUGAAUCUUAGAUCUAUAAAGAACAAAAAAAUAUAGUUCCAUUUGUCCGUCCUUUUCGAGUUUUCUUUGGAUUACUUCCAGAUUCGAUGUAGUUGAAACACCAUACUAGCCAAUUGUUCUCAACUAGAACGAUUAGUUAGCAUUUGUUUUAGCCACAUUGAAGGACUUUUGAACUGCCAGACUCCUCUUGGUAUUUUCUUUAACCUUUUUCCUAAUUUCUUUAUUAUGUUCCUUAAUUUCUGCAUGUGAAUAAUCAUGAGUAAUUUAGUUCAUUUCUGUACAAGUUAUUUAGUUUACAUCAUAUCUAAUUAUUAGAAAAUUAUUUUUAGUUGCAUAUUUUAGUUAAUUCGAUCAUAUUGUAGGUUAAUUAGGUUAAUUAUUAGGUUUUGUUGCACUACCAUGCUUGCUUCCUUGCUUGUUAUUGUGUUUUGCCAUCUGUGUUUGUUUAAAUUCAAUUCUUGUUUAGGGUUAAUUAGAUAAGCAUUUUUAUUUAUUGAUUUAUUUAGUUUUUAGGUUUGAAUUACAUCAUCGUGAUUUUGUUUGUCAUUUUGAUUUAGAUUUUAUGAUCCCCUUUGGUUUUACCUCUAUUAGCCUUAAUUUGUAACUCAACAAAACUUGUAGGGAAUUAAUUAAACUAAUAGGAAAACUUAAGAGGAUUUUAGAUCUUUAAAAAAAACAAAUAUCUAACAAAACAUAGUUUUAGAAAUGUACUACUAUCCAAAAUUAGUUUUAAAAGAUGCUGAAAAAUGGAUAACUGGAAAUUAUUCUCUGUCACAACAUCUGUACUAUUCAAAGAAUUAGGGUAGAAUAUUUUUUGAUGCCAUUUUUUAUAUAAACUCUAUAAAAGAAAAGAAAACUUGCACUCACAUACAUAUAUGAUCAACACAUUUUGACUUAAAAUUUAAGAAUACAAAGGAAAACCAUUAAAACUUUUCUGGCCUUAAAAAACUUCAAUUUUUCUAGCUAGAUUUCUAGGUUAGUUCUUCGAGUACUCUCAUUUUCUGGAAGCUUGAGUGUUGAUUCUUGUUUUUUCUGGGCUGCUUCCUUACUGCUGCUAUUUGGUUCUGUUUUCUGCUCAUUUUUCAAAGUUUUAAUCAGUAUUUCUUCUGUUUUUUAUGUUUUUGUUGUUCUUUCAAGGUACUGAUUCUAUCCUUCUUCAUGUACUACUUGUUUAAGCAAUACAAGAACCAAAAGCAACAAUAUGUGAAAAAAUGAGUAUCUUUUCAUUCUAGUUGUAGUUUAUAUUGACAUGGAUGUGAUUAGUCUUUAUUAUAUAAGUUUAAACUUGAAGUAAUCUGGAAUGAGUAGCUUGGUUAAUACAUUGAUGCUUUUUAGUUUUCCUCUUAAAAUUUAACCUUGUUUGAAGAUGUGUCCUUAGCAAAAUGUUCUGCGUGUUAAUACUAAUUCUGAACAUUACUUAUUAAAGUCAUUUCUCCCCUUUUAUUCUGCUGAUAAAUAAUAUGGUGUCUACCUGAAGUUAUUUGGGGUUUGUUUGCUAAUCAUGAACUAUAACCUGUGGAUUCGGCCACUAAUUGGCCAAAUCAGCAGGUUCAAAAGCUACGAGUUGAAAUUCUAUUGUUGAUAGCAUGCUGAAUCUGGUAUUUUCAUAGGUUGGACCAAAUUUUGAUGGAUAAAUCAUGUCCAAAAGAGGCAGGUGUCAUUAGGUUAUUAAUUAUAUGAAAGUUGUAAUAGAAUAGCUGACAUUUUCUCUUUGAAAUAUAAAUUCUGGUAUAGUAUAUCAUUUGUAAUUCUCAUAUUAUUGUUAGGAUGGUCUGUAAUAACUAGUAGCAAGGUGUUGACAAUUUUAACUGUAGUUGCUCAAUUUCAAAGUUGAAGUUUUAAUUUCCUCUCAUAUGCAUGAUGUGUCACGAUUCAAAGAAGUAUUUUUUCACUUAAAGAAGCUCAAGAUAGUACACCAUUAUUUCAAAUGAUUUGUUAGUACGAAUAUUAUGUUUUAUAAUCUAGUUAUUCAUUAUGUUGACAAUCAGAGCUUGUGUGAUAUCUGUACAUUUGUGUACUGAAGGAAGUGUGGAGAUCAAAUCAUGUAUCAGUACAUUUGGGGCCUUCACCUAAAUGUUGGGUCUGGAAUUAGCCCAAACGAGAUGGCCUGAUCAAGAAUAAGGACUUUGGUUUGUAUCUAGUCCUUCGCUUCAUGCCUAAGCUUAGUUUGUGAGCCCUGGCCAGCGUAGUAGCUGCCUUUCAAAAGACACGGACUGAAUAACACACUGGGGCUGCUCCUUGGCCCAUUCCCUUUAGUAGUUAAAAUUAUACAUGUCUCUUCUAAUGCUAUGCUGUAGCUCUUCGCUUUAGAAAUAAUUUGGAAUAAACAUUAGGGAGUAAAUAUGAACAUCUGUUAGUGUGCCUUUUUUUAAGUAAAAAUCACUUGAAAUAAAUUGAGGCGUAACCCACGGCCCUCGUGUUAAUACCAAAACUAGUUCGAAAAAUACUUGUAACAUUCAUAACUAGUAUAAAAAAUACUUUGAG
rnacentral:lncRNA from 1 species